GAUGAAGAACGUAGCGAAAUGCGAUAAGUAAUGCGAAUUGCAGAAUUUCCGUGAGUCAUCGAAUCUUUGAACGCACAUUGCGCCCCUUGGUAUUCCGAGGGGCAUGCCUGUUCGAGCGUCAUUAUAACCCCUCAAGCUCAGCUUGGUGUUGGGGCCUGCCGCACGGGCAGCCCUUAAAAUCAGUGGCGGUGCCAUCUGGCUCUAAGCGUAGUAAUUCUUCUCGCUAUAGAGUCCCGGUGGAUGCUUGCCAUUAACCCCCAAUUUUCUAUGGUUGACCUCGGAUCAGGUAGGGAUACCCGCUGAACUUAAGCAUAUCAAUAAGCGGAGGA
rnacentral:misc_RNA from 1 species